GUGCUCACUUUGGCAGUACAUAUGUUAAAACUGGAAUAUUAAAAUAUUAGCAUGGGCUCUGUGCAAUGAUGACGUGCAAAUUUGUGAAGCAUUCCAUAUUUUU
rnacentral:snRNA from 1 species